UACGAUUUCUCCUGUUGCAAGAGUCGAAGUUAUCAUGAAACGAGGAAGGGAUAUAGCGUCUUUUUUUGCCCCAGUAAACAAAAAAGUGAGAAAAACAGCAGUGAGAAACAAAUGAAGGUGUUGAGGAGCAGGAAGAGGGAGAGCCAGAGGAGUCGGUGGAGGAUGGAGAGAGGGCAUGUGAUGAAAGUGAGGGCUCUGACACAGAGAGGGAAAUCCCAGAGGGUGAGGAGGAAGAAGAGGGUGAGGAGGAUGAAGAAGAGGGUGAGGAGGAAGAAAACCGGGACAGAGAGAGGAACAGCCUGGGGGACAGCAAGUGGAUCCAUGUGGAUCAAGUACUGCACCAUCAGAUAGCAGCAAGUCCCAGAAUGAUGUACCAGUAUAGCCAAACUUGAAUAUAUUCCCAACCAUUUUGAUGGGGGACAGAAGACGGAGCUUCAGGCCAAACUGGUCUAAUCUUCAUCCAUGGCUCGAGUAUUCUGUCAUGAUGGACUCUACAUAUUGCUAUGCAUGUAGACAUUUUUCAUUUUUUAUGGCCCUACCUCU